rnacentral:rRNA from 1 species
CAGUCGCCACGGUAAUACGAAGGGGGCUAGCGUUGCUCGGAAUCACUGGGCGUAAAGGGUGCGUAGGCGGGUUUUUAAGUCAGGGGUGAAAUCCUGGAGCUCAACUCCAGAACUGCCCUUGAUACUGGGAAUCUUGAGUAUGGGAGAGGUGAGUGGAACUGCGAGUGUAGAGGUGAAAUUCGUAGAUAUUCGCAAGAACACCAGUGGCGAAGGCGGCUCACUGGCCCAUAACUGACGCUGAGGCACGAAAGCGUGGGGAGCAAACAGGAUUAGAUACCCGCGUAGUCCCUGUCUCUUAUAC